GGUGAAAGGCCAAUCAAACUCGGAGAUAGCUGGUUCUCCGCGAAAUCUAUUUAGGUAGAGCGUCUCGUAUUACCCUCGGGGGUAGAGCACUGGAUGGGCUAGGGGGUCCCAACGACUUACCAAACCUAACCAAACUCCGAAUACCGAGGAGUAGAGCGAGGCAGACACACUGCGGGUGCUAAGGUCCGUAGUGGAGAGGGAAACAGCCCUGACCGCCAGCUAAGGUCCCUAAGUUAUCACUAAGUGGGAAACGAUGUGGGAGUGCUUAGACAACCAGGAGGUUGGCUUAGAAGCAGCCACCCUUUAAAGAAAGCGUAAUAGCUCACUAGUCGAGUCGGCCUGCGCGGAAGAUGUAACGGGGCUCAAACUGGUCACCGAAGCUGCGGCUGCAUACUUUGUAUGCGGGGUAGGGGAGCGUUCUGUAAGCCUGCGAAGGUGUGUUGAGAAGCAUGCUGGAGGUAUCAGAAGUGCGAAUGCUGACAUGAGUAACGACAAUGCGGGUGAAAAACCCGCACGCCGGAAGACCAAGGGUUCCUGCGCAACGCUAAUCGGCGCAGGGUGAGUCGGCCCCUAAGGCGAGACCGAAAGGUGUAGUCGAUGGGAAACGGGUUAAUAUUCCCGUACCUUGGAUAGCUGCGAUGGAGAGACGGAGAAGGCUAGGUGAGCCGGGCGACGGUUGUCCCGGUUUAAGCGAGUAGGGAGUGGACUUAGGCAAAUCCGGGUCCACAAUCUCGAGACGCGACGACGACUGCUCUUAGAGCGGGAAGUCAUUGAUGCCAUGCUUCCAGGAAAAUCUUCUAAGCUUCAGGUUAUAAGGAACCGUACCCCAAACCGACACAGGU
rnacentral:rRNA from 1 species